rnacentral:lncRNA from 1 species
CGUGAGGGUGGGGCAGGGGAGAUCUGAGGAGUGUGCUCACUGCCCCUCCCUCAUCCACCGGCACACCAGACCCCUCUGUCCGACUGUGCUCUUCCAUUUCUCAACUGACUGCCCUGUGGGACAUUUAUGCAGGAGCAGGGAACCUACCUGGAGGACAAAAUCUGCCAUGAGCUGCCGUGUCCUCUUCUCCUUGACAGGCAACCUCAGCCCAAUUUUUAUUUCACAACUUUUUACUGGUGGAAAUGAGGAGAAACAGACAUCAGCAAGUCUAGGCUCUGCCCUUAAGGAGCUCCUGCUGAGGAGGCUAUAGAGACAAGUUUUACACAGUUCAAGAACCACACAUGUGCAGAGGAGCGGUCCAUCAUGUUUACUAACUGCCAAACAAUCUGAAAUAGAUGGGAGGUGUGGGUCCUUACUGCUGGAACAUCAUGCUCCUCACCCAAGGCUUCCCUGCCUCUCUCCUCAGCUUUUAAUUUGAAUUAAUGAGUCUUCAAGAAGAUGGUCAAAGAUCAGCUGUUCUCUUCUAACAUAAUAUCAUUGGUCGGAUGUCCUUACAUGCAUAUGUGCCUGGAGUUAAAAACCACAAUAAGUUCCAAUAAUUGAAGGAGUUGUGCAGUUACGAGUAUUUGCUUUGACCAUUAAAUG